rnacentral:misc_RNA from 1 species
AAAAAAAACCAGGAAGAAAGCAAGAAAGAAAGAGUCCGGGACCUGAACAAUCUUGUUCUUGUCUCUCCACAUAUGUACAUAUAUGUACAAGUAUCGUUACAUAAAAACACUCAAGAUUGAACAUAAUUACAGAAGGAUGCCAUUGAUGAUGUGGUGAUGCAAGGUGGUCCAUGAAAAUUAAGCUUGUAACUUGACCAAACUACCCUGGAAAGAUUAUAGGAAUUUUCUAUUAUGUUAG